rnacentral:rRNA from 1 species
GACAAACGCUGGCGGCGUGCUUAACACAUGCAAGUCAAACGGAAAGGCCCUGCUUUUGUGGGGUGCUCGAGUGGCGAACGGGUGAGUAACACGUGAGUAACCUGCCCUUGACUUUGGGAUAACUUCAGGAAACUGGGGCUAAUACCGGAUAGGAGCUCCUGCUGCAUGGUGGGGGUUGGAAAGUUUCGGCGGUUGGGGAUGGACUCGCGGCUUAUCAGCUUGUUGGUGGGGUAGUGGCUUACCAAGGCUUUGACGGGUAGCCGGCCUGAGAGGGUGACCGGCCACAUUGGGACUGAGAUACGGCCCAGACUCCUACGGGAGGCAGCAGUGGGGAAUAUUGCACAAUGGGCGGAAGCCUGAUGCAGCAACGCCGCGUGCGGGAUGACGGCCUUCGGGUUGUAAACCGCUUUCGCCUGUGACGAAGCGUGAGUGACGGUAAUGGGUAAAGAAGCACCGGCUAACUACGUG